GGCAGGAGGAGAACCAGGGAAGAGCAAGGCCAUAAAUACUUAGAGGGAAAAGAAUAUCAAGGAGAAGUGGGUGAUAACAAUAUCAAAGGCUACAUACUCUAGAAGAAUGAGGAUUGAGAAAAGGCCAUCAGAAUGCGCAAUUAUGAGGUCACUGGAAUCUCUCCAGAGAACAGUUUCAGUGGAAUGAUAAGCUCAGAAGAAAGACUACUGAAAGACAGGCACAGCAGGAGACUGAAGGUCUGAAAUCAAAAGGAAGGUUGCUCCUCUAUGCACUGAAGGUUCUCCACAUCCUGGUUGGGAGAUCAGGCUGACAGUAGGAGGUGGGAGUUACCUUGUGCUGGCACAGAAAGAAGUCCUCCUGCCACCUUCCCAACAGAGAUAAGAAAUAGAAGGUGCUCAAUUGGAGGAAUGUCUGGUUCUUUUUCUCACCUGAAGCUGGAAAUCAGGAGAUACAGUAGGAAGUCUUAAAGCUCUCGGUUAAUGGGGAAGUUGCUCUGGGGCAGAUGGAAGACUGGGCCAGACCCUUGCAGUCUUACUUCAGGUGACAUGUGCAGCAGAAGAUGGAAAGCAGGAAAUCAGAGAAGAAAGCUGGGAAAAACUCACUGUUAAUAACAGUGGCCUGGAUGAAAAUUCAGCAAAGGAAACUGAGGAAUGGUCAGACUGGCAGGAGGAGAACCAGGAGAGAGCAGGGUCAUGAAAACGUAGAGGGAAGCCAAUAUCAAGGAAAAGAAGGUGAUCAAUACUAUCAAAGGCUACAGACUGCUCUAGAAGGAUGAAGAUUGAGAAAAGGCCAUCAGAAUGGGCAAUUAAGAGAUCAUUGGUAUCUUUGGAGAGAGCAGUUUCAAUGGAAUGAUGAGGUUGGAAGACAGAAUGCUGAAAGAGAGUAGGAGGAGAAGUGGAGCAGAACUGAAACUCCUUUUGGCGUGGCAAUGGGGCACAAUGGAUAGAAUGCUAGACUUACACUUGGAAGACCUCGGUUCGAAUCCUGCCUCCAACGUCUACUAGCUUUGUGACCAUGAGGAAGUCAGAUAGUAUAUAUAAACCACUGUAAACAUUAAAAUGCUCUAUAAUAUUAAUUUAUAUC